UACGAAGGGGGCUAGCGUUGCUCGGAAUCACUGGCGUAAAGGGUGCGUAGGCGGGUCUUUAAGUCAGGGUGAAUCCUGGAGCUCAACUCCAGAACUGCCUUGAUACUGAAGAUCUUGAGUUUGGGAGAGGUGAGUGGAACUGCGAGUGUAGAGGUGAAAUUCGUAGAUAUUCGCAAGACACCAGUGGCGAAGGCGGCUCACUGGUCCGGUUCUGACGCUGAGGCGCGAAAGCGUGGGAGCAA
rnacentral:rRNA from 1 species